rnacentral:rRNA from 1 species
CCUACGGGGGGCAGCAGUGAGGAAUAUUGGUCAAUGGACGAGAGUCUGAACCAGCCAAGUAGCGUGAAGGAUGACUGCCCUAUGGGUUGUAAACUUCUUUUAUAUGGGAAUAAAAUGUUCCACGUGUGGGAUUUUGUAUGUACCAUAUGAAUAAGGAUCGGCUAACUCCGUGCCAGCAGCCGCGGUAAUACGGAGGAUCCGAGCGUUAUCCGGAUUUAUUGGGUUUAAAGGGAGCGUAGGUGGAUUGUUAAGUCAGUUGUGAAAGUUUGCGGCUCAACCGUAAAAUUGCAGUUGAAACUGGCAGUCUUGAGUACAGUAGAGGUUGGCGGAAUUCGUGGUGUAGCGGUGAAAUGCUUAGAUAUCACGAAGAACUCCGAUUGCGAAGGCAGUUCACUGGACUGCAACUGACACUGAGGCUCGAAAGUGUGGGUAUCAAACAGGAUUAGAUACCCGAGUAGUC